rnacentral:rRNA from 1 species
GUGGAUUAGAUACCCUGGUAGUCCACGCCCUAAACGAUGUCGACUGGGUGUUCGGGAAGCGAUUCCUGGGUACCGUAGCUAACGCGUGAAGUCGACCGCCUGGGGAGUACGGCCGCAAGGUUAAAACUCAAAGGAAUUGACGGGGACCCGCACAAGCGGUGGAUGAUGUGGAUUAAUUCGAUGCAACGCGAACAACCUUACCUACCCUUGACAUGUCCGAGAGCCCGCUGAGAGGUGGGUGUGCCUGAAAGGGAAUCGGAACACAGGUGCUGCACGGUCGUCGACAGCU